rnacentral:sRNA from 1 species
UCCUGUCCGUAGCAGCUCAUAAUAGACC